AUUGAACGCUGGCGGCAUGCCUUACACAUGCAAGUCGAACGGCAGCACGGGAGCAAUCCUGGUGGCGAGUGGCGAACGGGUGAGUAAAGUAUCGGAACGUGCCCAGUCGUGGGGGAUAACGUAGCGAAAGUUACGCUAAUACCGCAUACGAUCUAUGGAUGAAAGCGGGGGAUCGCAAGACCUCGCGCGAUUGGAGCGGCCGAUAUCAGAUUAGGUAGUUGGUGGGGUAAAGGCUCACCAAGCCGACGAUCUGUAGCUGGUCUGAGAGGACGACCAGCCACACGUGGGACUGAGACACGGCCAGACUCCUACGGGAGGCAGCAGUGGGGAAUUUUGGACAAUGGGCGCAAGCCUGAUCCAGCAAUGCCGCGUGCAGGAUGAACGGCCCUCGGGUUGUAAACUGCUUUUGUACGGAACGAAAAGGUUUCUAUUAAUACUAGGAGCUCAUGACGGUACCGUAAGAAUAAGCACCGGCUAACUACGUGCCAGCA
rnacentral:rRNA from 1 species